rnacentral:rRNA from 1 species
CCUACGUGAGGCAGCAGUAGGGAAUCUUCCACAAUGGGCGAAAGCCUGAUGGAGCAACGCCGCGUGGGUUAAGAAGGUCUUCGGAUCGUAAAACCCUGUUGUUAGAGAAGAAAGUGCGUGAGAGUAACUGUUCACGUUUCGACGGUAUCUAACCAGAAAGCCACGGCUAACUACGUGCCAGCAGCCGCGGUAAUACGUAGGGGGCAAGCGUUAUCCGGAUUUAUUGGGCGUAAAGGGAACGCAGGCGGUCUUUUAAGUCUGAUGUGAAAGCCUUCGGCUUAACCGGAGUAGUGCAUUGGAAACUGGGAGACUUGAGUGCAGAAGAGGAGAGUGGAACGCCAUGUGUAGCGGUGAAAUGCGUAGAUAUAUGGAAGAACACCAGUGGCGAAAGCGGCGCUCUGGUCUGUAACUGACGCUGAGGUUCGAAAGCGUGGGUAGCAAACAGGAUUAGAUACCCCGGUAGUC